GACGAACGCUGGCGGCGUGCUUAACACAUGCAAGUCGAACGAUGAUGCCCAGCUUGCUGGGCGGAUUAGUGGCGAACGGGUGAGUAACACGUGAGUAACCUGCCCUUGACUUCGGGAUAACUCCGGGAAACCGGGGCUAAUACCGGAUAUGAGCCGUCCUCGCAUGGGGGUGGUUGGAAAGUCUUUCGGUCAGGGAUGGGCUCGCGGCCUAUCAGCUUGUUGGUGGGGUGAUGGCCUACCAAGGCGACGACGGGUAGCCGGCCUGAGAGGGCGACCGGCCACACUGGGACUGAGACACGGCCCAGACUCCUACGGGAGGCAGCAGUGGGGAAUAUUGCACAAUGGGCGAAAGCCUGAUGCAGCGACGCCGCGUGAGGGAUGAAGGCCUUCGGGUUGUAAACCUCUUUCAGCAGGGAAGAAGCGCAAGUGACGGUACCUGCAGAAGAAGCGCCGGCUAACUACGUGCCAGCAGCCGCGGUAAUACGUAGGGCGCAAGCGUUGUCCGGAAUUAUUGGGCGUAAAGAGCUCGUAGGCGGUUUGUCGCGUCUGGUGUGAAAACUCGAGGCUCAACCUCGAGCUUGCAUCGGGUACGGGCAGACUAGAGUGCGGUAGGGGAGACUGGAAUUCCUGGUGUAGCGGUGGAAUGCGCAGAUAUCAGGAGGAACACCGAUGGCGAAGGCAGGUCUCUGGGCCGCAACUGACGCUGAGGAGCGAAAGCAUGGGGAGCGAACAGG
rnacentral:rRNA from 1 species